rnacentral:rRNA from 1 species
AAAAACAUGUCCUUUAGAAUUUAAUUUAAGGUCUAGCCUGCCCACUGAUUUAAAUGGCCGCAGUAUUUUAACUGUGCAAAGGUAGCAUAAUCAUUAGUCUUUUAAUUGAAGGCUUGUAUGAAUGGUUGGACGAAAUAUUAACUGUUUCAUAAAAAUUUAUUUAGAAUUUUAUUUUUUAGUUAAAAAGCUAAAAUUUUUUUAAAAGACGAGAAGACCCUAUAGAUCUUUAUAAUUUAUUUAUUAUAGUUAUAUAGAUUAUUUAAAUUAUGAUUUUAUAAAUUAUUUUGUUGGGGUGACAUUAAAAUUUAAUAAACUUUUAAUAAAUUUUUACAUUAAUUUAUGAGUGAUUGAUCCAUUAUUAGUGAUUAUAAAAUUAAGUUACCUUAGGGAUAACAGCGUAAUUUUUUUGAAGAGUUCAUAUCGAUAAAAAAGAUUGCGACCUCGAUGUUGGAUUAAGAUAUAAUUUUGGGUGCAGCAAUUCAAUAAUUAAGUCUGUUCGACUUUUAAUUUCUUA